rnacentral:rRNA from 1 species
AGGAUGAACGCUGGCGGCGUGCCUAAUACAUGCAAGUCGAACGAGUUCUGAUUAUUGAAAGGUGCUUGCAUCUUGAUUUAAUUUUGAACGAGUGGCGGACGGGUGAGUAACACGUGGGUAACCUGCCCUUAAGUGGGGGAUAACAUUUGGAAACAGAUGCUAAUACCGCAUAAAUCCAAGAACCGCAUGGUUCUUGGCUGAAAGAUGGCGUAAGCUAUCGCUUUUGGAUGGACCCGCGGCGUAUUAGCUAGUUGGUGAGGUAACGGCUCACCAAGGCAAUGAUACGUAGCCGAACUGAGAGGUUGAUCGGCCACAUUGGGACUGAGACACGGCCCAAACUCCUACGGGAGGCAGCAGUAGGGAAUCUUCCACAAUGGACGCAAGUCUGAUGGAGCAACGCCGCGUGAGUGAAGAAGGCUUUCGGGUCGUAAAACUCUGUUGUUGGAGAAGAAUGGUCGGCAGAGUAACUGUUGUCGGCGUGACGGUAUCCAACCAGAAAGCCACGGCUAACUACGUGCCAGCAGCCGGGGUAAUACGUAGGUGGCAAGCGUUAUCCGGAUUUAUUGGGCGUAAAGGGAGCGCAGGCGUUUUUUAAGUCUGAUGUGAAAGCCCUUGGCUUAACCGAGGAAGUGCAUCGGAAACUGGGAAACUUGAGUGCAGAAGAGGACAGUGGAACUCCAUGUGUAGCGGUGAAAAUGCGUAGAUAUAUGGAAGAACACCAGUGGCGAAGGCGGCUGUCUGGUCUGUAACUGACGCUGAGGCUCGAAAGCAUGGGUAGCGAACAGGAUUAGAUACCCUGGUAGUCCAUGCCGUAAACGAUGAAUGCUAGGUGUUGGAGGGUUUCCGCCCUUCAGUGCCGCAGCUAACGCAUUAAGCAUUCCGCCUGGGGAGUACGACCGCAAGGUUGAAACUCAAAGGAAUUGACGGGGGCCCGCACAAGCGGUGGAGCAUGUGGUUUAAUUCGAAGCAACGCGAAGAACCUUACCAGGUCUUGACAUCUUUUGAUUACCUGAGAGAUCAGGUUUCCCCUUCGGGGGCAAAAUGACAGGUGGUGCAUGGUUGUCGUCAGCUCGUGUCGUGAGAUGUUGGGUUAAGUCCCGCAACGAGCGCAACCCUUAUGACUAGUUGCCAGCAUUUAGUUGGGCACUCUAGUAAGACUGCCGGUGACAAACCGGAGGAAGGUGGGGAUGACGUCAAAUCAUCAUGCCCCUUAUGACCUGGGCUACACACGUGCUACAAUGGAUGGUACAACGAGUUGCGAGACCGCGAGGUCAAGCUAAUCUCUUAAAGCCAUUCUCAGUUCGGACUGUAGGCUGCAACUCGCCUACACGAAGUCGGAAUCGCUAGUAAUCGCGGAUCAGCACGCCGCGGUGAAUACGUUCCCGGGCCUUGUACACACCGCCCGUCACACCAUGAGAGUUUGUAACACCCGAAGCCGGUGGCGUAACCCUUUUAGGGAGCGAGCCGUCUAAGGUGG